rnacentral:tRNA from 1 species
CCGAUGUAGCUCAGUUGGCUAGAGCAGCUGAUUUGUAAUCAGCCGGUCGGGGGUUCGAGUCCCUUCAUCGG